ensembl:lncRNA
GUUGAACUUUUAUGAAUUUUUCAGAAUCACUACUGAAACAUGAUAAAAGUUUAAUAGGACUAAAAAUACUUGCAGCUCACAGGAGGACCUAGGAGUUACAGAAUGUCAUCCAAAACCUCCAAGGAAAUGGUGGGUUGGUAGGAAGGUUUGCCUUUUUAGGAAAAUAAUGCGGACAUCAUGUAAGAAGUGAGUGGAAUUUUGGUUGUUUGGUUGGAAGAUGGGUAGGUGUGAUGGUUGGUAGGUAGGUAAGUUGGUUGGUUGGUUGGUAUGUAGGUAAGUUGGUUGGUUGGUAGGUUGUUUGGAUGGUAGGUAGGUAAGUUGGAUGGCAUGGUAGGUUGGAUGGUUGUGGUUGGUAGGUAGGUAAGUUGGGUGGUAGGAAGGUAGGUAGGUAGUUUGGUUGGUUGAAUGGACAGUUGGUUGGUUGCUAGGAAAGUAGGUAGGUAGGUAAGUUGGUUGGUUGGUAGGUAGGUAGGUAAGUUGGUAGGUUGUUUGGAUGGUAGGUUGGUUGGUUGGUUGGUAGGAAAGUUGGUUGGUUGGUUGGUAGGAAAGUAGGUAGGUAGGUAGGUAGGUUGGUUGGUUGGUAGGAAAGUAGGUAGGUAGGUAGGUAGGUUGGUUGGUUGGUAGGAAAGUAGGUAGGUAGGUAAGUUGGAUGGUAGGGUAGGUUGGUUGGUUGGUUGGUUGGUUGGUAGGUAGGUAAAUUGGUUGGUUGGAAGGUAUGUACUUCUAUUCUGAUUUAUCCUUUCCUUGCAUAACCGAGGAAUCGUACAUCUUUUAUGAAGCAUGUCAGGAAAAAGCUUUGCAGUUACAUUUUUACAUGACACAUCCCACACACAUCCCACACACACACACACUUUCUGUAUUUCCUACAGGGCAUAUGAAGACACAGACACACUGAAACAGAUUCACAAAGUAAAACCUGAUUAAAGGCAUAACGCAGAAUAAUUGAUGACCUGAGCUCAAAAAAGCAAAGCAGUCCAGAAGGUUCAGUAUGUUCAAUACGGAUUACAGAUUAUAAUCCUCAAAUA